rnacentral:rRNA from 1 species
UACGUAGGGUGCAAGCGUUGUCCGGAAUUAUUGGGCGUAAAGAGCUCGUAGGCGGUUCGAUAAGUCGGGUGUGAAACCUCCAGGCUCAACCUGGAGACGCCACCCGAUACUGUUGUGACUGGAGUCCGGUAGGGGAGCGUGGAAUUCCUGGUGUAGCGGUGAAAUGCGCAGAUAUCAGGAGGAACACCAGCGGCGAAGGCGGCGCUCUGGGCCGGUACUGACGCUGAGGAGCGAAAGCGUGGGUAGCAAACAGG